rnacentral:rRNA from 1 species
AAGAGACAGCAGUAGCCGCGGUAAUACAGAGGGUGCGAGCGUUAAUCGGAUUUACUGGGCGUAAAGCGUGCGUAGGCGGCUUUUUAAGUCGGAUGUGAAAUCCCUGAGCUUAACUUAGGAAUUGCAUUCGAUACUGGGAAGCUAGAGUAUGGGAGAGGAUGGUAGAAUUCCAGGUGUAGCGGUGAAAUGCGUAGAGAUCUGGAGGAAUACCGAUGGCGAAGGCAGCCAUCUGGCCUAAUACUGACGCUGAGGUACGAAAGCAUGGGGAGCAAACAGGAUUAGAGACCCGCGUAGUCCCUGUCUCUUAUAC